AUUGAACGCUGGCGGCAUGCCUAACACAUGCAAGUCGAACGGCAGCACAAUAAAGAUUUCGGUCUUUAUGGGUGGCGAGUGGCGGACGGGUGAGUAACGCGUAGGAAUCUGUCCUGGAGAGUGGGAUAACCCGAGGAAACUCGGGCUAAUACUGCAUGACAUUGAGAGAUCAAAAGCAGGGGACCGAAAGGCCUUGCGCUCUGGGGUGAGCCUACGUCGGAUUAGCUAGUUGGUGGGGUAAAGGCCUACCAAGGCGACGAUCCGUAGCUGGUCAGAGAGCAUGACCAGCCGCACUGGGACUGAGACACGGCCCAGACUCCUACGGGAGGCAGCAGUGGGGAAUCUUGGACAAUGGGGGAAACCCUGAUCCAGCGAUGCCGCGUGUGUGAAGAAGGCCUUCGGGUUGUAAAGCACUUUAGGUGGGGAAGAAAGGUAGCGAGUGAAUAACUUUCUGCUGUGACGGUACCCACAGAAUAAGCACCGGCUAACUCUGUGCCAGCCGCCGCAGUAA
rnacentral:rRNA from 1 species